UAAUAGAGUGUAUGCCCACCUGAUUCAAACAUCAGUGGAAAAUUCUGCUCCAAGAUGAGGCUCAAGAUUCCUAUCCCAUCCUGUUUGUCAACUUCCCUUGUUUAGAAUGUUUUUGAGCCUGCCUGGAGGCCCUCUUGCCCCAGUGGAGAGAACAUCUGCGCCAAAGUGCUUUGUGCAUAUGGAAUUGACUACCACCGCUUCAGGCCUGGACAGGAUUGAACGCCAUAGCUGUCAUUCUAACAAACUGCUCCGUGUUCUGUGACAGAAAACAGCCCUGGAAGGGAAGUACUGACAAGUCAUUGUUUCAAACUAUACAGAAGAACUUGGAGUCAACAUGAAAGUCUUCACUUUUCCAUCACUUGCCUACAUACCCACCUCUGCUUACCGUACGCGGGCCACCAGCAUCUCCUGCUUAGUACGUAGCAUGCUAGCUCAUUCACUAUUUACAUGCAUCCGUGUCUCUCUUUACAAAAACGGACCUCAUGUAAGAAAAAAAUCACACAAUAUGUAUCCUCUUUUUGGUUUGGGGCUGCCUCGAGCCUAGGCUUGGUCACAGCAGAGGAAAAACGGGAGACUCAUCGCUGGUUUGCAGUAGAAGAGUCAGGAUGGAUGUGCUUAUUCUGUCUUAUCUGGCACUAGAACGUCUGCCCUUCGAUGUGGCUGUUUUAUCACAGCUCCUUGAGAAAACGCAUGAUGGAAAAUGUUUUCAAGAAAACACUUAUAGGGGCCCCUGGCGGGAGGGCUCGAUCGGUGGAGCUACCAACUCUUGAUUUGGACUCAGGUCACGAUCUCAUGGGGUUCAUGCUGUGGAGCCCUGAGUCAGGCUCUGUGGUGGCAAGCAGGGAGCCUGUGGGGAUUUUCUCUCUCCUUCGCUCUGCACCUCCCCAAAGCCUCCGCAUGUGCUCACACCUGCGUGUGCUGUCCCUCAAAAUAAAUAAAUAAACACCCAGGGGCACCUGGGGGGCUCAGUUGGUUAA